rnacentral:rRNA from 1 species
AAACUGGAGAGUUUGAUCCUGGCUCAGAUUGAACGCUGGCGGCGUGCUUAACACAUGCAAGUC